AGAGUUUGAUCAUGGCUCAGAACGAACGCUGGCGGCGUGCCUAACACAUGCAAGUCGCGCGGGAAAGCAGGGGCAACUCUGCAAGUACAGCGGCGCACGGGUGAGUAACACGUAGGUAACCUACCUCCACGCCUGGGAUAACCUGUCGAAAAGACGGGCUAAUACCGGAUACGACCACAGAAGUUGAGGCUUCGGUGGUGAAAGGUGGCCUCUGCUUGCAAGCUACCACAUGGGGAUGGGCCUGCGCGCCAUUAGCUUGUUGGUGAGGUGACGGCCCACCAAGGCAAAGAUGGCUAGCUGGUCUGAGAGGAUGGCCAGCCACACUGGGACUGAGACACGGCCCAGACUCCUACGGGAGGCAGCAGUGGGGAAUAUUGCGCAAUGGGCGAAAGCCUGACGCAGCGACGCCGCGUGGGUGAUGAAGGCCUUCGGGUCGUAAAGCCCUGUCGGGAGGGACGAAUCCUCGGUGACCUAACACGUCAUCGACCUGACGGUACCUCCGAAGGAAGCACCGGCUAACUCCGUGCCAGCAGCCGCGGUAAUACGGAGGGUGCGAGCGUUGUUCGGAAUCACUGGGCGUAAAGCGCGUGUAGGCGGCUUCUUAAGUCUGGUGUGAAAGCCCGGGGCUUACCCCCGGAAGGGCACUGGAAACUGGGGAGCUGGAGUACCGGAGAGGAGGGUGGAAUUCCUGGUGUAGCGGUGAAAUGCGUAGAUAUCAGGAGGAACACCGGUGGCGAAGGCGGCCCUCUGGACGGAUACUGACGCUGAGACGCGAAAGCGUGGGGAGCAAACAGGAUUAGAUACCCCAGUAGUCC
rnacentral:rRNA from 1 species